rnacentral:rRNA from 1 species
AACGAACGCUGGCGGCAGGCUUAACACAUGCAAGUCGAGCGCAUCCUUCGGGGUGAGCGGCAGACGGGUGAGUAACACGUGGGAAUCUACCCAACCCUACGGAAUAGCUCCGGGAAACUGGAAUUAAUACCGUAUACGCCCUUAGGGGGAAAGAUUUAUCGGGGAUGGAUGAGCCCGCGUUGGAUUAGCUAGUUGGUGGGGUAAAGGCCUACCAAGGCGACGAUCCAUAGCUGGUCUGAGAGGAUGAUCAGCCACAUUGGGACUGAGACACGGCCCAAACUCCUACGGGAGGCAGCAGUGGGGAAUAUUGGACAAUGGGCGCGAGCCUGAUCCAGCCAUGCCGCGUGAGUGAUGAAGGCCUUAGGGUUGUAAAGCUCUUUCACCGGAGAAGAUAAUGACGGUAUCCGGAGAAGAAGCCCCGGCUAACUUCGUGCCAGCAGCCGCCGUAA